UGGUGGGCUAUGGAGAAUUAUUGUCAUGUCCGUAGGGACGAGUCAUUGAGACCAAAUCUGUUUCUGUGACCUUUCGUAAAAGAGGCCUGGAGUAGCAUAUGGAAGUGCACUGCAACAGCUUUAUCCAUGAGAGAGAAAGACUGUAGAAUGUUGUUUUGACAGUAUUAUACAAUAAAACAUGUAUUCAUUAUUUGCAGUAUAUGGCAAUGCACUCUUGGUGAUUUUUUUUUUUUUUUUAGGCAUAAACAGUAAGUUAUACUGUAAAUUCCAAAUAAACUUUGGUUUAACAGUACUUUACUGUAACCCCACAGCAUUCGGGCCUCCCUACUGGCACUGCAUCUUAGUGCAAGAGGUGUGUUCCUGGCUCCUUAACAUAUUUUGAGGCGUAUAAGAGGCUAAUGAAGAGGCUAAAUUUGUGCCGCCCAUGAGCGAGAGUCCUGUGCCAACUAAACUGAUUGGUCGUAGCAGUGUUUCUACACUUAAAUGUGUAUAUAGGGGACAUAUUGGAGUGGUGGCAAGUGUCACUAUUUGCCACGUCCUUUGGCCUGUUUUACCCUGUAUUCACUGCCAGUGUGGGAGCCUUUGUUAAGGCCUCUUGAAGUGAAAGUGCUAUUAUACUUUUUAUACCCCCUAAAAUUACGGUGAAAUACUGUAAAAAAAAAAAAAAAGAAUUAAAAAAAAAUCUCUUCUCCCCCUUAGUUGUUUGUAAGUUACAGUAAAAACAACUGGAAAGGUUUUUAAUGGUGUAGCUAAAGUCUCUGCACAAGUACAAAACAAUGUGCUUUAUACGAUCUUCUUCUUCGUCAUUUAUCUAUAAGUACAUAUCCUCUUCUCAAGUCAGGGGCAAAAAAAGCUGAUUUCCAUGGUGUUCAUGUUGAGCUGCAGCUCUGCUCUACAACAAAAAUAUAAACGCAACAUGUAAAGUGUUGGUUCCAUGUUUCAUGAGCUGAAAAUAACAUUUUUCUUUACGCACAAAUAGCUUAUUUCUCUCCAAUUGUGUGAACACAUAUGUUUACAUCCCUGU
ensembl:lncRNA